GGAAGCCCCAGCACCACAAGGCUCCCCAAAAUGCAGUGUGAUGGCAGGGUGGGAGGCUUGCCCAGCAGCCAGGGGGAGCUGAGAUGAAUAAAUCAUUAUCCAAAAGGGGAGGAGAAGCCCUGCUGGGUAAGGGAAUUUCUGCCUCUCUGGGAGCAGUUCCCACCCAUCCCUGGGUGCAGGUGGGAGCUGGACCAGGGGUUGCCAGCAGAUGUGGCUGGAUCACACUGCUCAGAGCUCACCUUCACUGUCCCCUGAGCUCUCCUGCAAGUUACAGUCAUGCCCUCAAGACAACUGAGGUGAAAGCAGAGAAGUGACCACGAAAUGUCACUGGUUCUCUUGUUCUUCCUUCCCCUCCACUGGUUGCACAGACAUCAGCCACCUCCAAGGACUCUCCCAGGCAGUGACAACCACAGGAGACUUACCCCUGGCUAGGACUUACACCCUCAGCCUGCUGGGGAAAUGGUGGGUAUGAAAAGAUGCCCACGUUGCCUGCAGCUGUAGCACAUAUUGCAUGGCAGGACACACACAGAAGUGAGAUUAAUUUGAGUUCUGGGCAUCAUUAGCUCAAUUAAAACUGUGAUUUUUUAGCUCAGACCUACAGGCCACUGAGGAGAAGAGCAAUCAUAAGACAGAAAACGAGUUCCCUAGUUAAAAAUUAAUUCCCCAGACUAAAAAUAUAAUCAAACGGUGUCUACAGCACUUUAUGAAGAGCUGGGAGGAUAAUAAAAUUUAAAGCAGUGCAACAUUUGCAUUUUGUUCCUUUCUCUCCAUAUUUUUCCAUAGACUGCCUUUCUGUGUGCUUGUUAAUCAUAUGCACUGCUACAGUCCUGGCAUUUUAAGAUCACUGUUCACAUCAAGAUUGAAAGGAAACUAAUUACAACCGCAUUUCAGGCUGCUUGUUCAAAGCUCGUACGGCGCCGGCUACAGCGCAGGAGCCUUGACCUUUAUUUGUAAGCAUGGAAAUAAGGUGAAGAUGAAAGAUUGGUUUUUCCUCCAGCUCUCGUUCGGGGAUCAGGAGGCCCUCCGGAGCAGCAGGGAUGUGGCAAACCUCGCUCCUCGCCUCCUCUGCCGUGCUGGCAGCAGAGGCCAGUAGAGCUAUGCAGAAGCUGUUCUCCACUGCAGAGAGGUGAAGGAGAGCUCCGCUGUUGUUUUGCAGCUCGCCCUCGGGCUAGGAGAACACGGGAAGAAUUAGAAGCCCCGAGGAGUCUGCCUUUUUGACCCCCAUCCAGAGCUUGGUGUGCAGUGCCUGGUGCUCAGAUGAUGGAGGUGCCUGUUACCUGCUGGUGAGAGCUGCUGGCAGUGCUACAGCCUCUUUUGCCACUCAAGUUAGGGCUUAAUAACACUAAUAGGAUCUAGGAGGACUCAUCAGGGCAGAAUAAGGUCCCUCAAACCUGAGGGAGUGCAGGUAAUCCUGAAGCUAUCCCUGAUUUCAUUCAGUGUGGAUGCAUUGAGAACACGCUGAGUGGCAGAGUUACACAGUGGGUUUCACCCUCUUCUCUGUGCCCCUGAAUUUUCAAAGCUGUAACUGUCAUAAAUUUGUACUAUGCCCAAAAUAAGCUGAGAGGUAUUUACACGAACAGGUUUCAGCCCAGGAGCUGCUGCUGUGGCCUUUUCACCAAAUGUGCUUUUCAGGGUCACUACCAGGUGUUCAAAAAGCUGUGCCAUGGCAAGAGCCGACCCCAGAGGGGUCCUGAGCUUCCAUCCUCCCUGGAUUAUCACAGCUCUGCACUGGAAUGAGCUCACUGAGGAAAAGUUCUCCACCCCUGAACCAAACCAAUCCCAUUCUCCACUUGUAUUCCACGCUGUAUUUACCCUGCACAGUCAUUGCAUUUGCCAGGCUCCAUGUUCAUCACUGCUGGAGCCCUGAGGUUCAGUGGCUUUAUUGGCAGGCUCUGCCAAGUAAUUUGUAUCUCCUGGUUGGAAAAGCUCUGUUUAGGGCAUUCAGCAGUGAAAGGAGGGAAAGACUCAUCUCACACCCAACCCAGAGCCCUGCUGCAGGCAGAGGACCUCUCUUUCCUGGUCCAUGCUGAGGACACAGACCUUGGACUGGAUGUUCCUGGGACCCUGGAUGCCGCUCAAACCAAGAAGCAAAGAUGAUUUUGCAACACUUUUAUCUCAUGUUCUCCUUCUGCCUACAUUCUUCAAAGCAAAAAUUCACUCAGGCAAAUAUUUACAGGAACUAAAGAAAAGGAACAGACCCCUGCUAUAGACACUGCUGCAGUGAACUUCUAAUUACAAUCCACACAGCGGUUAUGAAUAAAUUUAUCUAUUAUUUGUGUAGUUCUAGCACUGCAUACACUUUGCCUUGUACCAUUACAUGCUGAAGGAAACAAUAUGCAGCAUGAAAAUGAAAACAAUUUGACUUAAUUAUUUACACCAUUUACCGCCGCUUUGAAUGAGGCCCUCCAUUUCUUCGGGAUUUUGUAAAAUUUAACUGCUAAUUAUGCUUGCUUAAUUAAUUUUAUUUAUCUACCACUACAAUAAGAUCAAAACAACAACAACAACAACAACAAAAAGAUCAAAACCACAACCCUACCAGAAUGGAAAGCACAGGCUGUGUCCCCUAAUUGUAAAUGUUGCUUUUAAGCCUUUAUGAUAAAAAUGUAAUAUUUUGUAGCGUUUCAUUUGGAGCGUAUCUGGCCACGCUCCAGUACUAUUUAAGUGUAAACAGGAAAAGCCUUGGAGGACAAGUAAUCAUACUCAAAUGGCACAAAGAUCAUUACAAUAAUGUUCCAAAAACAUGGCAAAAUUAGACAUUGCAAAACUGUUUUCUUCUCUGAAGUGUUUCACCAGAUGGCGAAGAGUGCUGAAACCGUAGAUCCGAGAGGGGAGGAAAAACAUCUCCGCAGUUUUCUCCGUGCAGGAUGCUCAGCUCCCACCCCAGCUCGUCUGAAGCGGCAUCUCCCACCUUGCCUCCAUCGAACCUUCAAGCUGGAGAUGACAUCAAGGUGUUUUUGAGAGCAGCUCAGCGCUCAAUCACAGCCUGGGAAAUCCCCGCUUUGCUCCGUUCAAGUUGUCGACCGGAUUUAUUCCGGCGAUGAGAACGAACGAGCGCGUCAGCAGAAGUUAUUGUGGUAAUUUGUGAAACUCUUAAUGAGAUAUUUUCAGAGCUCAUAAAAAGGAAGAGCUAUGUCAUUGAAUUACUGCACAAUAAGUGCAUUUUGAUACAGGAAAAGAGUUGGGCUUUUAUCAGAAAUGGCACUGCAUGAGUGGGGACGUGUCAGGGAGUAUUUAAAGGGGUCUGACAAGGGUCUAACAACCAUUUCAGAAAGUCAGGGCUGCUCCACAUAAAUGGGACAUGUCUGUGUGUGUUGCUGCUCUGUGAAAUGGCCACAAGUGAGGUGACUGCACUAAAUGUGUUCCUUAAGGACUUGACAAAGUUCCUUUCUACAGGACUUGCAGUGCCUUCAGAUGUCACCAGCUUUUUGCUUGCUUUCUUGUUAAAAGUAUCUUAGAACCAUCUAGAAAUUAGUCAUUAAAGUAACACCUAAUUUUGUUGCUUAGAUAUUGAAAGGAAGUCCUUCUCUCAUGGCUAGGGGUUUCUACUUUUAGGAGUAUUGGUGAACCCCAAGUAUUUGCCAUCCAUCCAUCCACCCCCUCCUGAACCUCUAACCUCUGUUAAUGUAUUUUGGAGAAUCUGUGAAUGAACAAGGUGAAAUGCUUGGAGUUCCUGAAAUCAUUAGUGGUUUCUGCUGACCCAAUCCCAGCUCCCUAUGGAAAAGCCUGUCAUGUCCUGGGAGACGAGAGAGCCACACUGGGGACAGGAGCUGUGCCCUGGAGGAGAGGGUUUCUCAUCAACUGAACACAAGCAGCUGGGCUGAACGAUGGUGAAGAGGGUGUAAAUGCACUUCCAAGCCCUCCACCUUCCAGAAAUGUUGGCUUUCUCAAUAAUUUCCUUGGGAACAUACGUGACAAAUCCAGAUCCACAGGAAAUCUCAUCCUUCUUCACUGAAAGAGCCUGAAAUGGAAGGUGACUUCAUUCCUGACUGGCAGUCAUUCCAGCUCCAUGCUGAGCAAGGAAACAGCCUCUUAUUCACCAUAUUACAAAUAUUUUUGAACUGAAUAUUCAUCGUGUCCAAAGAACAGCCUGCAGGCUGCAUUCAGUGUGCUUCCAUUACCCAGAGUUAGCCACAAAAAUUAAGCAAAAAUCCCACCAUUUUCCACCUAUCCCCAUUCAAAGAACAUUUGGAAGUGGGGCUUGCAAAUGGAAAAGGGUUGACUCUAACAUUAGGAAUUUGGUUUAUCAGUUUGCAUCCAGCUCAUCUGCUUAAUUGAAAAGCUUGUCCAUGGAUGGUUUCCAACAGUUUGUUUUCAGGGAAGGGCUGAUUUUAACCCACUUCCUUGACCAUUUGCUGAGCACAGCCUGUGGGUGACAUUAACUGCCAUCCCAACAAUCCCUCUCUGAUGUCAUGAGAUGCAAAGUGUCCCAUAGUCUUGAAAACUGACUGUACUCUGAGCUUGCACUGAUCCCAUGUUCUUCCCAAGCUAAAUAAGUUGGGAGAACCAGGUCUCAGGGGCACUGAGCCUCAGUUUUCCAUCUGUAAAAUAGCAAUACAAGGACUUUGGUAAAAAAUUAUUGCAUUUUCACCUGACAUGGACUGUUCUCUUUUUAGAAGGACUCUUCUAGCAACACCAGAUCUUUCUGAAAACUUGAUUCACCAAAAAACCCACUUUACAGUAAUUGGUAAUCUCUCUGUCUUCAGCAAGGCCAAGGUUUUAUUCUCACAUCUGAGCUUAAUUAUGUUUUCAGAACCGUGUCACGGAGGCUUAGAUGAAAUUCUUGCUUUGUGUGCAAGAAAGUCGCUCCACAUUUGCAUUUGCUUUGACAAGAACCACUGAUCUCAGCCAAUAUGGAGCGCUCAGAAUUGGCAGUGCUCCAGCUGGACAUCUCUUUUACAUUCUACCUAAAUUCCAGGCAAAAUAUCAUCCCUUAUGCUGAAAUGCUGAUGCCUUCAAGGGAGGGAAUAAAGCCUGAUAUAUGAAAAUGAAAUCCUGCUGCCGAGAGCUCCAUCUCCACCAACCAGCAGAGGUUGCUCUGAUGUUAGUGAACAAUCAUGGAGCUUAUUUUCCGUGAUAAAACCCCUGAAGGAAACCAAACACAAUUAUUGAGGUGAUGAAAUGAUCUGUGAGCAAGAAUGACAUGGAAUUUGCUGUGGGUGGGUAGGUUGUGAAACAGCAAUCCCUGGUCCAAAUCUUCUGGACAACCAGCUGCCCAUGGGGUUUUCCAACAUCACGUUGUGACCAGGCGGGUUCCAGGAACAACAGAGCACGGCCAACACAUCCUGCUUCCCAUGAGAUGGUGAGAACUGGGAUUCUUCUUCUAGGAUAUAAAUUCUGUCCCACUGGCCCUUAAAAAUCCAGGAGUUCUGCUAAUUUUAAUUGAUCCUUGAAUGGAAAUAAAGGAAACACAUUCUUUGCCCUUACUUAGCAAAGAGGAUUUUUUUUUUUUCCUUUCCCAGUUAUUAAUUUCCUUAAAUGUAAAGUGACAUCUAAAAUGAAAACAGUUUAUUGCUUGCCAGGAGCAAAGCCAGCCUAAUUUAAGAAAUUCAGAAUCAAAGCUUUUGAAGCAUAUCAGGGCAUGUUUAUAAAACAAUUAUCAUUGCAAACGUUCUCUCUGCUCAACUCAGCCUCUUCAGGCCACCUCCCGAAGCCUGAAACUUCAUCACCAGUCUUCCCCACCCUCAAAUGUUUCAUCAGUCGCAUAAAAUCAGGUCAGCCCUGGAUUGCAGCUUCCCUUCGUCGACCCAGGCGUUCGAUCCCAAAUCAAACCGACCUGCAACUCUUCGAUGCCGCAAGAAAAAUGAGCUGAGUGCUUAAAAUUAAGUAGCAGGCUCAUCAUUAAGAACCGACAGCAGACAAAGGAAUGCAGUGACCUCUCCAACAGAGCAUUUAAAUCUUUGCGCAACAUGCUCUGCUUGUUCGAGGCUGGUUUCACAAACAACAGCUGUGGAGUUCGUUAACAUAUGAAUCCCCUUGAGGUAAUUUGGAGGAGCCAAAUGUGCUAAACUAAACACCUCGUUAAGACACUACUCUAAAAAAAACAAAACAAAACAAAACAAAACCAAACCCCUGACCAAACCAAUUUCACUUUCACGUGUGGAGGUUCUGUCGUGUGGAAUUCAUUUGUCUGGCGUGGCUGGAAAUAGGGGGGGUUAAAAAAUCAGUGAUAAUAUGGGGCUUUUCUCUGCUGAGAUGCACUUGAGACUAAAUUGUCUUUGAAGUGUAGUCUGCCACAAAGAAGCGAUUAGCUGAGGACAAUAAUGUUUUCUUUUGCUCCCUGUUACUAAGCACAGGACAGGAGGUUGUACUAAAAUACGCAGGACCCCGUUGUUUCUCUUCAGUCUGGGGAGCCAAUGGACACGACCAGAGGGACUCUCUCUCCAGCAGGUCUUGGAUGGGGCCAAGGCAGAAGCACACCCAAGUGCCCCUGGGGUCACUGUGCCCCCCAGGAGGGCCUGGCAGGAGAUUUGGAGGGAAGUUCUCCCUGACAAACACUGAUGCAAGUCCAGGUGACCACACACAAGAGGUGCAGUCCGAAGGCACUGGAAGAAACGCCUGUCCUUGUUCCUGAGGGCUGCAGAGGGCUCAGAUGCCUUGAUCAGAUUUUGCCACCAAGAACAGCUGCUUGCCAUCCUUUUUUAUUUCUCCCUUUUUUGUAAUAGUUAUAUAAUUUUGCCAGUAAAGGAGUUCACAAUCUCCUUGGUGACACUACUAGAAGUCCCUCCUGGAAAACAGCAUCUCCUGCCCAGGUAACGCUGCUCAGUGAAGCUUGAAUGGCUUCAAACCCACACAGAAAUUCACUCUUCUCCAAAAUAAACAUGUUUUCUUCUCUGUCUCCA